GAUUAUGGCUCAGGAUGAACGCUAGCGGCAGGCUUAACACAUGCAAGUCGAGGGGCAGCGGGAUGUAGCAAUACAUUGCCGGCGACCGGCGGAUGGGUGCGUAACGCGUAUGCAACCUACCUUAUACAGGGGAAUAACCUUUCGAAAGGGAGACUAACACCCCAUGGUAUUGAUUUAAGGCAUCUUAGAUUAAUUAAAUAUUUAUAGGUAUAAGAUGGGCAUGCGUAUGAUUAGCUAGUUGGUAAGGUAACGGCUUACCAAGGCGACGAUCAUUAGGGGUUCUGAUAGGAAGGUCCCCCACACUGGUACUGAGACACGGACCAGACUCCUACGGGAGGCAGCAGUGAGGAAUAUUGGUCAAUGGGCGCAAGCCUGAACCAGCCAUGCCGCGUGCAAGGAAGACGGCCUUAUGGGUUGUAAACUGCUUUUACAUAAGACUAACCGUAUAUUUGCGAAUAUACCUGAAUGUAUUAUGAGAAUAAGGAUCGGCUAACUCCGUGCCAGCCGCCGC
rnacentral:rRNA from 1 species